AUGAGUCAAAGCAGCGUGUUGUCGAGUGCCAGUACGAUCCCCCCGUCAAUUAUAGACCAGGACGACAACGAUUUUAACGACGAACUGUCGCAUGUGAAUGAUUUGUUUUUCGGAAAUGUGGAAUUAAAUGUCGGCGCCGAGUGCUCAGCGGUAACUAGUGGUUCUGAUGAAAGUGACUGUGAUAGUGAAGAUGUGUGUAAUGAUCUGAAUAACAACGAUGAUAAUGACUUUGAAAUUUCUGAUCCUGACAAAAGAGAGGCGCAAAACGUGUGUUUAGAGACAGACAAAUCUGAACUAGAUAUGCUGAUAAAGGUGCAGCUCUUCCAUCAUAGAAAUAAUUCUUCAGAAACAUCUGCCAAGAAACACAAGACAAAGGAAAGAGAAAGGGUGAGACAAGUUUAUCAUUUUAGUGGAAUCCAGGUGUGUAGAGAGACAUUUGCUUUCGCCCAUGGGAUAAGUAGGAAAACCAUUGAUUCCAUUGCUAGAUCCCUUGAUCAAGAUGGGUUUGGUGCUAGAGUUCAUGGCAACAAAGGUAAAUCCCCUAAACAUGCCUUAACAAUGGAGGAUGUGAAGAGAGUCAAACAGUUUCUUCUUAUAGUUAUGCCAACAAAUAUGGACUUCCCCUACCUGGCAGGCUACCAAAUUUCAGAAAUGAGAAAACUAUUUUACUGCCCUCUGACAAAACCAAAGCAGAAGUUCACCAGGAAUAUUUGA
rnacentral:sRNA from 1 species